rnacentral:rRNA from 1 species
CCCUUAGAUGUUCUGGGCCGCACGCGCGCUACACUGACGAAUGCAACGAGCUUAUAACCUUGGCCGAAAGGUCUGGGUAAUCUCCAAAUUUCGUCGUGAUGGGGAUAGAUUAUUGCAAUUAUUAAUCUUCAACGAGGAAUGCCUAGUAAGCGCAAGUCAUCAGCUUGCGUUGAUUACGUCCCUGCCCUUUGUACACACCGCCCGUCGCUCCUACCGAUUGAAUGGUCCGGUGAAGCGCUCGGACCGCGGCCUCUUGACGGUUCGCUGUCGAUUGGCUGUGGGAAGUUCGUUAAACCUUAUCAUUUAGAGGAAGUAAAANUCGUANCA